UGAAUCUCUCUGGCCCCUGGACUGUGCCCUGAAACACAGCUUAAAACAGCAGAAUGAACAGUAAUCCCAGAGAUCCUGAGAUGAGAAAAGGGUGUUUGACUUAUUCAAAGAAGACCAAGGAAGCCCAAAGACCAGAGAAGAGUGCAGGAAAGGGGCGGCGGUCUGAGAUGCAGUCAGAGCAGUGGCAAGCCCCCAGAGUCUGUGGCAAAGACUUCAGGUUUCAUCCUGAAGAGGAAGACAGGUCUUUGGAGAGUUUUGAUCAAGGAAGUGAGAUGAAAUAUCUUAGGCUUACAAAGAACUACUCUGACAUCUAAAUGGAAAAUGGACUGAUGAAGCAAAAGAAGCCACAAGGAAGCCAGUUCAGAGGCUAUUGAAAUGCUCCAGAUACUCAGAGAGUGAGAGCCUUCAGAUUUGGGCCGCUGUGGUUCGUCUUCUGCCUGGGAACUGGAUAAAAACAUCAGUGAAUACCCCAAAGGUCAGAAUUUCAGAACUGCU
rnacentral:lncRNA from 10 species